GACCGUGCUAAGGUAGCAUAAUCAUUAGUUCCUUGAUUGGGAGCCGGAAUAAAUGAGUUGACGAUAUUUGUGUUUUUCUAGCAGGCAGGUGAAAAUUGAUAUUUGCAUCAAAAAGUGCAACUUUUUAGGGGGACGAUAAGACCCCAUAAAACUUUAUCCUUAAUAAAUUUCUUGGUUUGGAAGUGCAGGAAAAGAGCUGAGGAUUUAGCUGGGGCGGCAUCUAAUAUAACUUUAGUAUAUUUAACACAUAUCUGUGAUCCGCAAGAUCUAUAUAAAAUUUAGACUAAGUUACUUUGGGGAUAACAGCACUAUUUUUUCCUACAGCUCGCAUGGAAGAAAGAGACUGUGACCUCGAUGUUGAAUUGGGGUGCCAGGCUUAAGCAGAAAUAGGCCUAGGAGGUCUGUUCGACCUUUAAUUCCCCA
rnacentral:rRNA from 1 species